rnacentral:lncRNA from 1 species
AUGAGCCUGCCCUGGGUAGGGUUGGCCUCUGCUAUCAGAGUCUUACAGCCACCGCUAUCUCUGAUGGACACAAGCGCCGCCUCAUCGAUGGUGCCCCAAGACCAGCCCUUGCCUGCAGAAGCAGCCAGUACCAGGGCUGGGGUCCCACUCCCCAGGGGCCAAGGGCCCGGGCAGCAGAACAAUCACAGGCCUAGCCCUGGGGAGCACGGUCGAUGGGGGCAGCGGUCAACAGCAGGAGAGGCCCGCGCGUCAGGAGCGCGCACCGGGAGCGCGCACCCGAUUGGCGGUGGAGCGCGCAGGCCGCCCCUGGGUCCACAGGCUGCCUAGGUCCCUGUCUCUGCGCCCCGGGUCCCAGCAGCUCUUUUCACUAUCCCCGCGCCCGGGUUCCCGCUCUCCUGGACCCCGCGGCCCCUGUCCCGGUCCCCAAACCCCGGUCCCCUGGGCUUGAGCUCAUGGAGCAGCUGCUGCGUACCGAACUGCGCACCGCGACCCUGCGGGCCUUCGGG